rnacentral:rRNA from 1 species
UCCCGACUUCGGAAGGGAUGCAUUUAUUGGAUACAGAACCAACGCCCUUUCGGGGCUUCCUGGUGAAUCACAAUAACUCCGCGGAUCGCACGGCCUUGUGCCGGCGAUGGUUCAUUCAAAUUUCUGCCCUAUCAACUUUCGACGGCUGGGUCUUGGCCAGCCGUGGUGACAACGGGUAACGGAGGGUUAGGGCUUGACCCCGGAGAAGGAGCCUGAGAGACGGCUACUACAUCCAAGGAAGGCAGCAGGCGCGCAAAUUACCCAAUCCCGACUCGGGGAGGUAGUGACAAUAAAUACUGAUCCAGGGCUCUUUUGGGUCUUGGAAUUGGAAUGAGUACAAUUUAAAUCCCUUAACGAGGAACAAUUGGAGGGCAAGUCUGGUGCCAGCAGCCGCGGUAAUUCCAGCUCCAAUAGCGUAUAUUAAAGUUGUUGAGGUUAAAAAGCUCGUAGUUGAACCUUGGCCCUGGCUGGCCGGUCCGCCUCACCGCGAGCACUGGUCCGGCCGGGGCUUUCCCUCUGGGGACCCUCAUGCCCUUCACUGGGUGUGCUGGAGAACCAGGACUUUUACUGUGAACAAAUCAGAUCGCUCAAAGAAGGCUCUCGCUCGAAUGCUUCAGCAUGGAAUAAUAAAAUAGGACGUGCGGUUCUAUUUUGUUGGUUUCUAGGACCGCCGUAAUGAUUAAUAGGGACAGUCGGGGGUGUCAGUAUUCAAUCGUCAGAGGUGAAAUUCUUGGAUCGAUUGAAGACUAACUACUGCGAAAGCAUUCACCAAGGAUGUUUUCAUUAAUCAGGAACGAAAGUUAGGGGAUCGAAGACGAUCAGAUACCGUCGUAGUCUUAACCAUAAACUAUGCCGAUUAGGGAUCGGACGAUGUUAUUUUUUGACUCGUUCGGCACCUUACGAUAAAUCAAAA